rnacentral:rRNA from 1 species
GACGAACGCUGGCGGCGUGCUUAACACAUGCAAGUCGAACGGAAAGGCCCUGCUUUUGUGGGGUGCUCGAGUGGCGAACGGGUGAGUAACACGUGAGUAACCUGCCCUUGACUUUGGGAUAACUUCAGGAAACUGGGGCUAAUACCGGAUAGGAGCUCCUGCUGCAUGGUGGGGGUUGGAAAGUUUCGGCGGUUGGGGAUGGACUCGCGGCUUAUCAGCUUGUUGGUGGGGUAGUGGCUUACCAAGGCGUUGACGGGUAGCCGGCCUGAGAGGGUGACCGGCCACACUGGGACUGAGAUACGGCCCAGACUCCUACGGGAGGCAGCAGUGGGGAAUAUUGCACAAUGGGCGGAAGCCUGAUGCAGCAACGCCGCGUGCGGGAUGACGGCCUUCGGGUUGUAAACCGCUUUCGCCUGUGACGAAGCGUGAGUGACGGUAAUGGGAAAAGAAGCACCGGCUAACUACGUG